CCUUAAAGAAGCGUACUUUGAAGUGCUCACACAGAUUGUCUGAUGAAAAACGAGCAGUAAAACCUCUACAGGCUUGUAGCUCAGGUGGUUAGAGCGCACCCCUGAUAAGGGUGAGGUCGGUGGUUCAAGUCCACUCAGGCCUACCAAAUUUUCCCUGAAUACUGCGUUGUGAAAUAACUCACAUACUGAUGUAUGCUUCGUUAUUCCACGCCUUGUCUCAGGAAAAAUUAUCGGUAAAGAGGUUCUGACUACACGAUGGGGCUAUA
rnacentral:misc_RNA from 1 species